UGGCAAUAUGUACAAACAAUG
rnacentral:piRNA from 1 species